GUAGAAACCCUUAAUUCUAGGUAAAUACUGACAUGUGCUUAGGGCCACCCCUGUUAUAUGUUGAUUCAACCUUGGUAGUGAAUUUAAACUUUAAGCAGCAUUAUUACUUUUAUACUUUCUUAUAUGCUAUAUAAAAUGUAAUGCUACCAUUGUUGAUCUUGCAACAAUUCAUUUGGAUUAGCAUGUAACUUGUAUUUUUAAUGCUAAUCUGAUGAGAAUGUUGUGGAUAUUACUUCCUCAUUUCAUUGUGAGGUUAUAAUGUGUAAAUUUUCUGAAACACUGAAAAUUGUUUACUCUUUCCUAAAGGCAUUCUUCUUCUUUUUCUUCUGUUAACAUCUCAGAUUUCCCUGGAUGCUCAAUCUGACUUUUGAAGUUCUCACAAUGGUAUUGGCACUUUGUGUCGACUUCCAUUGAACAGCUUUUGUACAUAUAUGAGAAUUUUCCUUUGCUCUACUUUCUGGUUAUUGGAAGGAAAAUAUUUAUAGGAUGAUGUUCUUAUCGAAAGCUUUAGUCAGCAUGUUUAAACCAUUUGCACGUUUUAGCUGUCAUGAGGAAGACCUUUUCAACUUGACUGAUGCACACAAGUUUUUGUAAUUGUCUCUGUACAGGAAGAUAGUGAGAAGACUG
rnacentral:misc_RNA from 1 species